UGAUGUGAGGGCGAUCUGGCUGUGACAUAUGUCACCCCUUUGAUUGCCAGGGUUGAUUCAGCUGAUCUAGCUGGCUAGGCAGGUGUCCCCUUCUUCCCUCACCACUCCAUGUGCAUCCCUCCUGAAGCUGCGCACUCGAUGAAAGAGGACAAUAUCCCAGGUAUAGAAGGAGUGUACCGAAAUCUCCAGUCUUCGGUCCCGGGUAUAAGAUAGCUGUGCUCCCCUGAUAGAACCUUCAAACAAGCUCAAGGUCCAUUGGUAGUUAAUGAUAUAGUCAAUGAGGUUCACAUAGAAUUGGAGAUGAGUACUUGUAUU
rnacentral:snRNA from 1 species